GUGGGGAAUUUUGGACAAUGGGCGCAAGCCUGAUCCAGCAAUGCCGCGUGCAGGAAGAAGGCCUACGGGUUGUAAACUGCUUUUGUACGGAACGAAACGGUCCUGGUUAAUACCUGGGGCUAAUGACGGUACCGUAAGAAUAAGCACCGGCUAACUACGUGCCAGCAGCCGCGGUAAUACGUAGGGUGCGAGCGUUAAUCGGAAUUACUGGGCGUAAAGCGUGCGCAGGCGGUGCUGUAAGACAGGCGUGAAAUCCCCGGGCUCAACCUGGGAAUUGCGCUUGUGACUGCAGUGCUGGAGUACGGCAGAGGGGGAUGGAAUUCCGCGUGUAGCAGUGAAAUGCGUAGAUAUGCGGAGGAACACCGAUGGCGAAGGCAGUCCCCUGGGCCUGUACUGACGCUCAUGCACGAAAGCGUGGGGAGCAAACAGGAUUAGAAACCCUAGUAGUCC
rnacentral:rRNA from 1 species